rnacentral:tRNA from 1 species
GUUUCCGUAGUGUAGCGGUUAUCACGUUCGCCACACGCACGGAAACGAAGGUUCGAAUCCACCCGGGCAAA